rnacentral:misc_RNA from 1 species
AAGAGUUGCAAGACUCCCACAAACCAUCGCGAACCGAACCCCUGAGCAGUUGCUUCGGCGGGCCGGCCCCCACCGCGGGGCGCCGUCACAGGCCCGCCGGAGGCACCCAAACCAUUGUCUUUGCAGGCCUCUCUGAGUAUUACUUAAAACAAGUCA